UGGGGAAUAUUGGACAAUGGGCGCAAGCCUGAUCCAGCCAUGCCGCGUGAGUGAUGAAGGCCUUAGGGUUGUAAAGCUCUUUCGCCGGUGAAGAUAAUGACGGUAACCGGAGAAGAAGCCCCGGCUAACUUCGUGCCAGCAGCCGCGGUAAUACGAAGGGGGCUAGCGUUGCUCGGAAUCACUGGGGCGUAAAGCGCACGUAGGCGGAUCGUUAAGUCAGGGGUGAAAUCCUGGAGCUCAACUCCAGAACUGCCCUUGAUACUGGCGAUCUCGAGUUCGAGAGAGGUUGGUGGAACUCCGAGUGUAGAGGUGAAAUUCGUAGAUAUUCGGAAGAACACCAGUGGCGAAGGCGGCCAACUGGCUCGAUACUGGC
rnacentral:rRNA from 1 species